UACGAAGGGGGCUAGCGUUGCUCGGAAUUACUGGGCGUAAAGCGCACGUAGGCGGCUUCUUAAGUCGGUGGUGAAAUCCUGGAGCUCAACUCCAGAACUGCCUUCGAUACUGGGAGCUCGAGUCCGGGAGAGGUGAGUGGAACUGCGAGUGUAGAGGUGAAAUUCGUAGAUAUUCGCAAGAACACCAAGUGGCGAAGGCGGCUCACUGGCCCGGUACUGACGCUGAGGUGCGGAAAGCGUGGGGAGCAAACAGGGAUUAAGAAACCCUGAGUACGUC
rnacentral:rRNA from 1 species